GGACCUGACUGCUAUCGGAUUGGUACUAAGCCAUGUGAGUCGUUGUAGCAAUACAAGGCAUACGGCUCAGUAACACGUAGUCAAUCUAACCUAUGGACGGGGAUAACCUCGGGAAACUGAGGAUAAUACCCGAUAGAUCAUAAUGCCUGGAACGGUUUAUGGUCCAAAUGAUUCGUCGCCGUAGGGUGGGACUGCGGCCUAUCAGCUUGUUGGUGAGGUAAUGGCCCACCAAGGCUAUUACAGGUACGGGCUCUGAGAGGAGUAGCCCGGAGAUGGGUACUGAGACACGGACCCAGGCCCUAUGGGGCGCAGCAGGCGAGAAACCUUUGCAAUGUGCGCAAGCACGACAAGGUUAAUCCGAGUGUUUCCUGCUAAAGGAAUCUUUUGUUAGUUGUAAAACCACUAUUGAAUAAGGGGUGGGCAAGUUCUGGUGUCAGCCGCCGCGGUAAAACCAGCACCUCAAGUGGUCAGGAUGAUUAUUGGGCCUAAAGCAUCCGUAGCCUGUUCUGAAAGUUUCCGGUUAAAUCCAUUAACUCAACUAAUGGGCUGCCGAAAAUACUGCAGAACUAGGGAGUGGGAGAGGUAGACGGUACUCGGUAGGAAGGGGUAAAAUCCUUUGAUCUAUUGAUGACCACCUGUGGCGAAGGCGGUCUACCAGAACACGUUCGACGGUGAGGGAUGAAAGCUGGGGGAGCAAACCGGAUUAGAUACCCGGGUAGUCCCAGCUGUAAACGAUGCAAACUCGGUGAUGCCCUGGCUUGUGGCCAGUGCAGUGCCGCAGGGAAGCCGUUAAGUUUGCCGCCUGGGAAGUACGUACGCAAGUAUGAAACUUAA
rnacentral:rRNA from 1 species